UACGUAGGGGACUAGCGUUAUCCGGAUUUACUGGGCGUAAAGGGUGCGUAGGCGGUCUUUCAAGUCAGGAGUUAAAGGCUACGGCUCAACCGUAGUAAGCUCCUGAUACUGUCUGACUUGAGUGCAGGAGAGGAAAGCGGAAUUCCCAGUGUAGCGGUGAAAUGCGUAGAUAUUGGGAGGAACACCAGUAGCGAAGGCGGCUUUCUGGACUGUAACUGACGCUGAGGCACGAAAGCGUGGGGAGCAAACAGG
rnacentral:rRNA from 1 species